rnacentral:rRNA from 1 species
UACGUAGGGUGCGAGCGUUGUCCGGAAUCAUUGGGCGUAAAGCGCGCGCAGGCGGCCCGGUAAGUCCGUUGUAAAAAGUCGAAGGCUCAACCUUCGAAAGCCGAUGGAUACUGCCGGGCUAGAGUCCGGUAGGGGACCACGGAAUUCCUGGUGUAGCGGUGAAAUGCGCAGAUAUCAGGAGGAACACCGGUGGCGAAGGCGGUGGUCUGGGCCGGCACUGACGCUGAGGAGCGAAAGCGUGGGGAGCAAACAGG